UCGAAGAUCUGUCUGCUCCUCUCGCUCUCAAUUUACAAAAUCCACCCUAAAACCCAAAGCCCCAGUUUCGGUACUGUUGCUUGUACGGUAUUUGAAUCGGACGUCGAAGACUGAUUGUUUCGUCCUAGAGAAACGUGAUGAAGAAGCAAGAAGAUAAUGUUGCCAGCCGCCUUGCCUUCGGAGAUUGCUGAGGACGAAACAGAGGUCUCUCAUUAGGACUUGCAAUUCGUCAAUGAGAAGAGAUUAUGCAUUCAACCAUCUUUUUUUAAAAAAAUUGUUCUGGAGGGAACGUUUUAUGCGAGUAAUGUUGGUACGUCUACCAGUCUCCAAGGCAUCAGAAAAAUCUGAAACUGGUGAGGAACAAGAUGAUGAAACGGAUGAUUCUGAGUUCUGACGCUGGUAAAGGUACAUUGAGAAUGAGCGAUUGACUAAAGCAGCAGCGCGAUAUUGUCCGAUUGGAAUUGCUAUGCAGGCUUGUUUUCUAACAUUAGUAUCCUAUUUACUAUUGUUCUGAAUCAUAUUGCAAAAUUAUGCUUGUAUAAAGAAAAUCAAAAUCCUCUAAAUGUAGAUGUCAUUAUAAUUAGAAGUUUAUUUUGACGAAUGAAUAAUUUUGUUUUACUUGCAAUGUUAUAAUCUGUUUCUAGUUUGUGAUAUAGCCAUAACAAGCAUAAACUGUGUUGUGUAUACUCCUUCCGCUCAAAUACUGUACAGUGCCUAUUGUAAUGUAAUGUUUGAUAAUUUCUUAUUCUACUUGUCACGAUAAUCCAUUAUUAGCUCAUCCUAAAAAUUCUUAGCCCUAAAACUUCCAAGAAUAGAAUUAUUGCUUCAGCAAAAUCUUUACCGUCCUUUCUCAUGCUGUAUCUUAUUGCAACAUCGAUACAACUUUUUAGAACAACUAGGAUUUCUGCAUUUCAAUUUGGUUUGGCUGGUUGUGUAAAAAUUUAAGAAUGGAUGGUCCAGGAGAAAUCAGAUAAUAGGUAUUGUAUACCCAUUAUUCACUCCUCUUCUGAUCAGAAAUUCAUUUAACCAAAAGAGUUAUUUACUUUCUCAUCAAUUUCAUUUGCUUGUUUUAUUUUAGCAUUCCAGUCUGGAAGCAAAUGAUAAUUCCUUCCCCUUGCAUGCUCCUUAUCUGAAUGGACUGGGAAAGUUCUCUCUUAUCUACAAUGGAGGUCACAUGAAUUAUCUGAAAAAGCUUGCUGUCGGUGAUAGAAACUCUAACAGUCCUCGGAAAAAUGUUUGAAGAACUUGACUGUUUCUUAACUCCUUCAAUGCUGCAUUGCUGCCUUCAAAGUGAUAUUCUGCUGCUCUGAAUGUUGAUUUACAGGGCUUCUUCGUGCUGUUUUACAAUCUUAUACUUGCAGAUCAGGGUGAAGCAUUACCAGAGGCUUUGAAGAUUAUGUUAAGUGAAAACAGAAAGCAUGACAUGCAAAAGGCUGCUGCAUGUGCGAGAGGCUUGACCACUUUCUCGUUGUGUUUGGAUCGACUGAAUCCAUGGCUGGCGUGCUAUGCUUCCCCAUUGUUAUCUAUACCAGAAAUUCCCUCCUUCUCUGCUCGUUUACCUGUAAUUCUUUGGAUAUCUUUUGCAGUUUUGGUAACGUUGAAGUAUCUUCUUCAGAAGAAAGUCAAAUGCUGGAAUCUAUUGUGGCUCAGUUUCUAAGUUCAUUGUGGUAACCUUUCUUUAAUUCUUGUUCAAAGAUUUAGAGCAUUUUUAUUCUUUCAGGGGAAGGGGGGAGUAUUUGUGGACUUAAUUUAUCAUAUGCAAUGAUCCUAGCACAUGUUCUGUUCUUAUUGAAAAACAAUUGCCGCAAGACAUCUGACUUUGGCGUUAUGCCUCCUUCCCUGAAGCAUCUCCAAUCAAUCGAAGUUCUCUUUUUGAUUGCAAUAAUCAACUUAAAUCUAUCUUUGUAAUUUUGAUUUGGCAUGGAGAAGUACUGGCCGUAUGCCUCAGACCCUAAUUUAGGUGGUGCAAUUGCUUCUGUCCUCUGUGAACUUAAUCUUCUCUCAAAGGAUUACCACCCAGCGGGUUCAGCAAUUGCUUUAAGCAUUUGAGGCAUGAGCAUGUCUCAUAACCGGGUUUUUCUCUCCUCAAUAUCUCCUCAGCAAGCUUUUACAGACUUGUCAUAUAAAGGCAGUUGAUCUCUAAGGUGACCUGCAUUGGGGGGAUCUCUAUAUAAAAGUCAGCUGAUGAAGAUGAACUGAGAAUGAAAACUUCCAAUGAUUUUGUGCUCCUCCGUGACUUUAAGCAGAAUGGGAGGUUAAGGAGUGAAUUAGACUGUACUACACUAGUCCGGCAAUUAUAUACAUCAAGAAGCAAAAGAAGAAGAAAAGGCAGCAGGAAGGCUUAACAUCAAGAUCCACAGGGAAAUGAAUAUUCAAGGACAUAUAGGCAUUUGAAUUAAAUUUGGGAAGUGUAAAGUAGCUUUCUACAACAUUCUUGUAUUAUGGGUAGGAAGCUGAUCGUCAUGAAGCUCAUGUAUGAUUUGUUUGUAGCUUUUUAGGUGUUUCGUUAGCUUACCUAGGCAUUAAGCCAUUAACCAUACAUUGUCUAGAGUCCUGAAUUAAGGUGACAGUGGGAAGUCAUACUAUGAAUUACAGAUUUUACUGUGUUAUCUCA